GACGAACGCUGGCGGCGUGCUUAACACAUGCAAGUCGAACGGAAAGGCCCUGCUUUUGUGGGGUGCUCGAGUGGCGAACGGGUGAGUAACACGUGAGUAACCUGCCCUUGACUUUGGGAUAACUUCAGGAAACUGGGGCUAAUACCGGAUAGGAGCUCCUGCUGCAUGGUGGGGGUUGGAAAGUUUCGGCGGUUGGGGAUGGACUCGCGGCUUAUCAGCUUGUUGGUGGGGUAGUGGCUUACCAAGGCUUUGACGGGUAGCCGGCCUGAGAGGGUGACCGGCCACAUUGGGACUGAGGUACGGCGCAGACUCCUACGGGAGGCAGCAGUGGGGAAUAUUGCACAAUGGGCGGAAGCCUGAUGCAGCAGCGCCGCGUGCGGGAUGACGGCCUUCGGGUUGUAAACCGCUUUCGCCUGUGACGAAGCGUGAGUGACGGUAAUGGGUAAAGAAGCACCGGCUAACUACGUG
rnacentral:rRNA from 1 species